rnacentral:rRNA from 1 species
UGGGGAAUUUUGGACAAUGGGCGAAAGCCUGAUCCAGCCAUUCCGCGUGCAAGAUGAAGGCCCUCGGGUUGUAAACUGCUUUUGUACGGAACGAAAAAGCUCCGGCUAAUACCUGGAGUCCAUGACGGUACCGUAAGAAUAAGCACCGGCUAACUACGUGCCAGCAGCCGCGGUAAUACGUAGGGUGCAAGCGUUAAUCGGAAUUACUGGGCGUAAAGCGUGCGCAGGCGGUUUUGUAAGACAGAGGUGAAAUCCCCGGGCUCAACCUGGGAACUGCCUUUGUGACUGCAAGGCUGGAGUGCGGCAGAGGGGGAUGGAAUUCCGCGUGUAGCAGUGAAAUGCGUAGAUAUGCGGAGGAACACCGAUGGCGAAGGCAAUCCCCUGGGCCUGCACUGACGCUCAUGCACGAAAGCGUGGGGAGCAAACAGGA